rnacentral:rRNA from 1 species
UAACCUGCCCAAGAGAUCGGGAUAACACCUGGAAACAGAUGCUAAUACCGGAUAACAACAGAUGAUGCCUAUCAACUGUUUAAAAGAUGGUUCUGCUAUCACUCUUGGAUGGACCUGCGGUGCAUUAGCUAGUUGGUAGGGUAACGGCCUACCAAGGCGAUGAUGCAUAGCCGAGUUGAGAGACUGAUCGGUCACAUUGGGACUGAGACACGGCCCAAACUCCUACGGGAGGCAGCAGGU